UUUAAUAUGGCAGAAUUAGUGCACUGAACUUAAACCUCACCUACAAAGAUUAUAUAUCUUUUAUUAAAA
rnacentral:tRNA from 1 species